GACUCCCAUGAGCUAGGCCUACCCCAAAUCUCAGACUGUGAACUUGUCUGGAAUAAGGAGCUUUGAGAUAUAAUUAAGGAAGGAUAAAGAUGAGAUCAUUAUAGAUGGGGGUGGGGGGUGCUAAGUCUGAAGACCAGGGUCCUAGAAGAGAUGAGGAGAAAACAUGGAGCUGCCCUCAGAGAAGAGGCCACAUGAAGAUGAGGCAGAGAUCAGAGGCUCCCCAAGGCAGAGCAUGCCAGGAGCCCCCAGAAGCUGAAGGAGGCAGGAAGGGAUCCUCCCUGGAGGCCCUCCCCACAGCUCGGGUUUGGAUUCCUGGCCCCUAGAACUGUGGGAGAAUAACUUGCUGCUGCCUGGAGCCACCUAUCUUGUGGUCACUUGUUACAGCAGUCCCAGGAAGCUUACGUGGUGAAGCAUGUCUAGCUUCUCAGCGAGGUGAAGCAGGAGGAAGUCUGGGACAGAGUCCGGCAGUGAGUGGGCUGACCUUAGGGCCUGGCCACCAUGAAGCCACUGCCCAGGUAGGAAGAGACAAGGCCUACUUCUCAGGAUCUGGUUUUCGCUUCCUAGAAGGCCCAUCUGCCUGGAUCGGCUUGCCUGGAAGGCUUCGGUGGCCCGCCCUAGUUGGAAUGUCUGCAGCAGGUCAGGAGGAUGGAGCUCUCCGGGCAGAGGAGGGUUGGCCAUCCUGUAGGCAGCAGGUCUUCUCCAUCCUUGAGGACUCUCUGGCUCUUUAAGACCGAGCCUGGCUCUGGCCUGGGUUAGAGCUCUAGAGCCACCAACCAGCAGCGUGGCCUGGGCAAGUACCUUGGGCCUCAGUUUCCUUUCUGCACAGUGAGGAUGAUAAGGAUGUUACCUGGGAGAGUGAGUGUCUGGGAAGAUUAAGUGAAGGCUUGUACUAGAUUCCAGACAGUGCUGGGUCACGGUGACGCUCCAUGAAGGUCAGCAAAGUAGCAUCAAUAGCAGAAACAGUAGUUAGGUUAGGGUGUUGUCACUAUGAGAGAAAAAGAACCUGUAUAUUAGUGGUCCUAAAACCUGAAUGAACAAGGCGUGGGACGGGGAAGUACAGGGAAAUGAAAUGGAGCAAAUCACAUUACAUGCAUGUGUGACUAUGUCACAACGAACCCCACGAUUAUGAACAAUUAUAAUGCACUAAUAAAAACAUAACAAAAAAAGAAAUGGAGAAAACUUGAAUGAAGAUAUCUACAUCCCAGGUACUUUGUUAAAAAUGAAGACUCUCUGGUCUUGCCAUCAAAGUUUGAUUCAAUAGGCUUGACAGGGGACCCAG
rnacentral:lncRNA from 1 species